rnacentral:rRNA from 1 species
AAAAACUUAAGCAUAUCAAUAAGCGGAGGAAAAGAAACUAACMAGGAUUCCCCUAGUAACUGCGAGUGAAGCGGGAAAAGCUCAAAUUUAAAAUCUGGCGGUCUUUGGCCGUCCGAGUUGUAAUCUGGAGAAGUGCUUUCCGCUCUGGACCGUGUACAAGUCUCUUGGAAUAGAGCGUCAUAGAGGGUGAGAAUCCCGUCUUUGACACGGACUACCAGUGCUUUGUGAUGUGCUUUCAAAGAGUCGAGUUGUUUGGGAAUGCAGCUCAAAAUGGGUGGUAAAUUCCAUCUAAAGCUAAAUAUUGGCGAGAGACCGAUAGCGAACAAGUACCGUGAGGGAAAGAUGAAAAGCACUUUGGAAAGAGAGUUAAACAGUACGUGAAAUUGCUGAAAGGGAAACACUUGAAGUCAGUCGCGUUGUUCAGAACUCAGCCUGGCCUUGGCUUGGUGCAUUUUCUGAAUGACGGGCCAGCAUCAAUUUUGACCGUUGGAUAAAGGCCAGAGAAAUGUGGCUCCUUUGGGAGUGUUAUAGUCUUUGGUUGCAUGCAAUGGUUGGGAUUGAGGAACUCAGCAUGCCUUUAUGGUCGGGGUUCGCCCACGUUCAUGCUUAGGAUGCUGGCGUAAUGGCUUUAAAUGACCCGUCUUGAAACACGGACCAAGGAGUCUAACAUGCCUGCGAGUGUUUGGGUGGAAAACCCGAGCGCGCAAUGAAAGUGAAAGUUGGGAUCUCUGUCGUGGGGAGCACCGACGCCCGGACCAGACCUUCUGUGACGGAUCCGCGGUAGAGCUUGUAUGUUGGGACCCGAAAGAUGGUGAACUAUGCCUGAAUAGGGUGAAGCCAGAGGAAACUCUGGUGGAGGCUCGUAGCGAUUCUGACGUGCAAAUCGAUCGUCAAAUUUGGGUAUAGGGGCGAAAGACUAAUCGACCCUCUCG